GUCCUGCCCCUGGUUACUCUGCUAACUUGUCUCUGCUUCUAACACUCUGUGUAUAAAACACAACCGGGCGCUUCUCGCUCUGAUUAAAAUCAUGCUGUGCAAUAGGAAAUACAAAUUAGCUCUGGCCUUUGGGCUCCUGACAAGUUUCCAGCGCUGCUUUCAACACCACAGAGAUUGUGUAACCCCAUCUGUGCGUGCUCUGGACGGUGACGUUUUCCCCUCCGUCAUGAGUCGGGCUGGCYGCCGCUCAUCCAGGUUCAGCUGUGAAUGCUCCGAGCAGCUUUUAGAAYUGAAGGAGGAAGGGAUGCUGCCAGCAGGCUGGUGAAACGCAGAAACCAGCUUUUCCUUGCUAGGGGUCUAUGUGGGAAAGGUUAAAAGGAGGAGGAUUUCCUAGGUAAUCCCCCCAAUCUUGAUGUUUGUGCAAAUACCUCCCUUUGGAAGGAGUGACUGGGGGCUCAGCGCAGGAGAGCCAACACUUCAGUACAAGAUUAACCCCCGAAGGAAGAGCACGGUAGCCUCUUGCUCAAACUACAGCUCAAAUCUGCGCUGCCAUGAAGCGCACGGCACUUUCCUGCCUCCUCCAGGGAUCCAAGCCAGGCACGCUGCGUUACAUCACUUCAGCGCYGCUCACACAAGGGCUGAGGCUCCAGCUAUCGUGUCACGUUUUCAGCAGAAACCUUUUAAGUCUCGGCGACUUCCUCUGAGGAUGCUGAAGCAAACAGUGCCCAGACCUGUGAGUGAACGAGCUGCGAAUGACAUCGCCGGCUCGAAACGCCUGUGGAUUUCCAGAGCGAUCUGCUGUUCUAAAGCUGGUUCUUCAGCCCUCCCCAGCACUGUGUCAUUGCUGCCUUGCCUGCUUUUGGCAGUCAGAGCUCAGCCAGAGGCCAGGCACACGAGCCCUGUGCUGUCCAUUAGAAGGCGGUCUGCGCUCUGUAUUUCACGUUGGUGUGUCUUGYUGGCUGGGAGACAAGAAUGGAGAGUGCUACAGCCUCAGAUGCCUUCAGAUGUCAUUGUGUUGCUGUGAAUAACAAGCUUGCUUCUGAAGCUUUUUUGGGAUUGGCAUUCAAACUUGCAUCACUUAUUUAUUUACAUUGAGGAUGAAGUUGGUAUUCCUCACCUGCUUAAGGAGUGCCCGCAGCAGACUGAAUCACCAACACACCUUGUUCUGAAAUAAAUCACAGUGGCAAAACGAUAUUGCUUGUGGCAAGUAGGCACAAUGCUUAUUAAAUAGCGAGCGUUACUUGCAUGGUUCAGAUCACCACUACUUUUUUUUUUUAAAAAAAAAAAGUUUGUUUCCCAAUAUCAAGGCCAGUAAAGGGCACGUCCCCACAGGGUGCUGAGACCARCCUGCUUCCUCAUUCCUUGCACUCUCACUGAUGGGAUCCUUCCUUCUGUGCCAAGUGAAACCUUCCUCACCCAACCCUGUAGCCCUGGACUCACCCUGAGCCCAGCCAGGUCUCCUCCUCCACGUCAGGCAGCCUCACCCCAUCCCUCACGGGAACACCCACCCUAUUCCUGUGUGCCUUAACAAGGUGUUCAAGGGUUCUGGCAUUUGCAGACACUCCUGAUACACAACAUGUGUCCAUUUUUAUGGCCAGUUUGGAUAAAGACAUUGCUCCAGCUGGUGACUGCAGCUUCCAGAUAASACUGACCACGUGACAACCUAAGAAACAACAAACUAAGGAGAGAGGAAUUGUCCAUUUUUGGACUCCAUUUACCAACACUUUGUUGCACAAACAUAGAAUAACAACUCCAACUGGACCAGUUUUCAUGGUAGUCAUAACAUUACCUGUAAGUGAUUCUGCAAGUUUGCACUUCCUGGGUGUGCCUUUGAAUCAGAUUCAUAAAGGGAAACAAUAUUUUGAAUGUGAGAGCUUCUUGGUAUGUAUUAUUUCCUGAAACUCUGAAAUUGUCACUUGUGACCUUACUGGUGUUCCUUACCCCUAAUAAAUUUAAC